rnacentral:rRNA from 1 species
AACAGGAUUAGAUACCCUGGUAGUCCGCGCUGUAAACGAUGCCGACUUGGAGGUUGUUCCCUUGAGGAGUGGCUUCCGGAGCUAACGCGUUAAGUCGACCGCCUGGGGAGUACGGCCGCAAGGUUAAAACUCAAAUGAAUUGACGGGGGCCCGCACAAGCGGUGGAGCAUGUGGUUUAAUUCGAUGCAACGCGAAGAACCUUACCUACUCUUGACAUCCAGAGAAUUUGCUAGAGAUAGCUUAGUGCCUUCGGGAACUCUGAGACAGGUGCUGCAUGGCUGUCGUCAGCUCGUGUUGUGAAAUGUUGGGUUAAGUCCCGCAACGAGCGCAACCCUUAUCCUUUGUUGCCAGCACGUAAUGGUGAGAACUCAAAGGAGACUGCCGGUGAUAAACCGGAGGAAGGUGGGGAUGACGUCAAGUCAUCAUGGCCCUUACGAGUAGGGCUACACACGUGCUACAAUGGCAUAUACAAAGAGAAGCGAACUCGCGAGAGCAAGCGGACCUCAUAAAGUAUGUCGUAGUCCGGAUUGGAGUCUGCAACUCGACUCCAUGAAGUCGGAAUCGCUAGUAAUCGUAGAUCAGAACGCUACGGUGAAUACGUUCCCGGGCCUUGUACACACCGCCCGUCACACCAUGGGAGUGGGUUGCAAAAGAAGUAGGUAGCUUAACCUUCGGGAGGGCACUUACCACUUUGUGAUUCAUGACUGGGGUGAAGUCGUAACAAGGUAACC